GGAGAAAGCAGAACGCCCAGCAAAUGACAGCUGCUGGCCCCAGACAGGGCCAGAGAGAGGAGUUUUACAAGGUGCCACCUCAGAAAGGCACCUGUCAAUCCAAGCCUGCAGUGGCCAGAGGGGUGGCAGGGCAAGGGCAGACUAGGAUACAGUGAGUGGGACUGCCUACAGUGAAGACGAACAGAAAAUCUUCCCAUAUCAGCUAAUACAUCACAGGCGUGGUCAAAGGCUUGUCCUCCAGUGACUCUGGCUUGUGUCAAGUUGACAAAUCAUCUCAUCAUCUAACCAGGACACCCACCCCAACCCACUGCUCCUCUUUAAAGGUCACCUAUACUUCACUGGAGAGCUGUCAGCUGAGAGCUGUCCUGUGAGGAGGGGUCUUACAGUCAGGGAUCCCUGAAGCACCACCCAGAGCCCAGGAAAGAAAGUCCCUCAUUGCAGAUCUCUGACCCUGCUCCAGUCAUGGCAAGGUUGAGAGAGGCGGGUAGAGCAAGACGCUUCUCCAUCUUCAUAGGACCCGGGAGUGCCCUUCACUGGCCAGUUGCCUAGUCAAGACUCAUCUGCUCCUCACCACAGCCUGCGACGUCAAUAGCCUGACUGCUGUCUGUGCUCGACAGAUGGGGAAACUGAGGCCGACAUCACCAUCAGCGUGGUAUCGAAGCUGACAGUAGCACUAAAACUUUCAAGACUCCACGACAAACGUUCUACAUCAGAAACAAGGAUGCAGUGGCCCAUCUUGGGUAGACAGCCACCCCUGGUGUCCCUGUAUCCCCCAACAGGCAGAGAAUCCCAGAGAAGGCUAAUGUGACUGAUGGCCAGGAAGGAGCAAAGCUUAUCCUUCUAGAGAAGGGUCAGAAUUUAGCCUAAGUGACAGUGUGGUCACUGACAAGCAGAACAAAGUUGGCCGAGCAGGUUAGCAUUGGAUGUACAUGUGCACAGAGAGGAAGGGUGAGGGAAGGGGAGAGAGAGAGAGAGAGAGAGAGAGAGAGAGAGAGAGAGAGAGAACACAUGCACACACAGCCCCCUCCACCGGCGCUCUCAAGUGCCCUGUGUGAGUGAGUGGGUGGAUAGUGGGAGCCGUGAAGCCGCUUCCCGGAGACAAUCUCUACAGCUCACUCGGAACCCCCUUCUUGGCUGGGUGUCAACCCCAGCCUUAUGCACAGGCAGCUGCCUCUAGGGAAUGAUUUAAAGGGCUCCAAGAAGCAGUCCACCCGUUGAAAAUGGCCCCCAUCCCUGGCCAGCCUGCUUACCUACCUGCCAUGGGCCUUUCUAAAAGCGUCCUGAGAUCCCGAAGCCAAGGAGACUGCCCACAGUGGACUCCGAGUCCUGGCACUGCACCGAGGGACCCCCACAGCCUUCACUGUGUCUGCCCAACACCCACUCUACCUCCCCACCCCUCAACGGGUUCAAUCUGCAGCUCAGGAUCCCAGGCCCAGAGAGGGGUGGGGCCAUGCAGGCCUCCAGUGGGUAGGAGGAGAGUUUGUGCUCCCAACUAGGGACCUGGGCCACUUCACUUUUCCAUCAUAGUCUAAAGUCCGAAAACCAGACGGGCCCAAGACUAGACCAUCUGCAAAGACAGAGUGAAAGCCCAGGUGAAGGGACUGAGGAGGAAGGGAGAGAUGAGAGAGAGAGAUGAGAUGGGCAAGCGGUGGGCACUUUCACAGGGACUGGGGGUCCGUCCUAAGGAAGUCUGUAGUAGUCACGGUUCAGCCCUCUAAAGCUGACCUAGGAGCUGAGAUGCUCAUCCACAGCUGGAGUCCCAUCACUCUGGAGGCCAAGGCAGGGGGCUCUCCGGCUCAAGCUCAGCCUGCAUAGUGAGCCUGUCUCAAAAAUAAAAAUUUAAAAAAAGCAAAAAUACAAAGCAGCAGGCGGUGGUGGCACAGGACAGGUACAAGGGGACAUGGAGACAAGUGGGACUGUGGUGCAUGGAGUGAAAUCACAAAGAGCCAAUAAAAAGUUAAAAUUAAUUAAUUAGGUAAUUAAAGAGAAGUGGAGGCAGGAGGAUCAGAAACUGAAGGUCAUCCUUUACACUUCAUAAGUCUGAGGUCAGCCUGAGCAACCUGUGACCUGGCCUUAACCUUCCUCUGGCUUCUCCCCUGAAGAGGAGGUUCUGGAAGGGAAACGGGGAACCGUUUCUGGUUAAAGAAGAACUCAGAGGCCUCUAGUGACUCGUCUGAGUGGAUAUUUCUAAUCAUCAGGGUAGUCCAUAAGGACAUCCAGCCAGGAUUUCUAUUUUCAGAUAUUCUCUCUAUUCUCAUGAGGAAGUUGAAGCACAGAGUAGGUAAGUAACUUGAUCAAGGUCACACAGCUGGUGAAUAACAGGAUCUGGAUUCCCAGUCAAGUCCCUGAUCCAAGAAAUCUUUUUUUCCCCACAUUCUGUGGUGUAUGUGUGUGUGUGUGUGUGUGUGUGUGUGUGUGUGUUGUGUGGUGUGUGUGUAUGUGUUUGUGUCUGUGUGUCUGUGGGCAAAGUGUCUCAGUAUACUCUUGUUCAUGGUCAUGAACCCUUGUUCAUGGUCAAAGCCUUUUUAAAUAGGUUGCUGAGCACAAAUCAAAGAUCUCGUUCUCCUUUUAAAUUUUU
ensembl:lincRNA Gm29455 predicted gene 29455